ACGGGAGGCAGCAGUGGGGAAUAUUGCACAAUGGGGGAAACCCUGAUGCAGCGAUGCCGCGUGGAGGAAGAAGGUUUUCGGAUUGUAAACUCCUGUCUUAAAGGACGAUAAUGACGGUACUUUAGGAGGAAGCUCCGGCUAACUACGUGCCAGCAGCCGCGGUAAUACGUAGGGAGCGAGCGUUGUCCGGAAUUACUGGGUGUAAAGGGAGUGUAGGCGGGAUUGCAAGUCAGAUGUGAAAUACAGGGGCCCAACCUCUGGGCUGCAUUUGAAACUGUAGUUCUUGAGUGAAGUAGAGGUAAGCGGAAUUCCUGGUGUAGCGGUGAAAUGCGUAGAUAUCAGGAGGAACACCGGUGGCGAAGGCGGCUUACUGGGCUUUUACUGACGCUGAGGCUCGAAAGCGUGGGGAGCAAACAGGAUUAGAUACCCUGGUA
rnacentral:rRNA from 1 species